rnacentral:miRNA from 1 species
GGGAUGACUGCUAUUGGCGUUACGUCACAAAAUUAAGCUCUCUGAUUUGCUGAAAAAUUUUUAAAUUUCAAUAAAACUCUCUGAUUGGGAGGCAGAAAUUUCCCAGCGAAUCGGAGAGCUUUAUUUUGUGACGUAACGCCGGGAGCCAUCAUCCC